CCCCUGACUCUGGGAUAAGCGCUGGAAACGGCGUCUAAUCCUGGAUACGAACCGUGGAGGCAUCUUCAACGGUUGGAAAGAUUUUUUGGUCAGGGAUGAGCUCGCGGCCUAUCAGCUUGUUGGUGAGGUAAUGGCUCACCAAGGCGUCGACGGGUAGCCGGCCUGAGAGGGUGACCGGCCACACUGGGACUGAGACACGGCCCAGACUCCUACGGGAGGCAGCAGUGGGGAAUAUUGCACAAUGGGCGAAAGCCUGAUGCAGCAACGCCGCGUGAGGGAUGACGGCCUUCGGGUUGUAAACCUCUUUUAGCAGGGAAGAAGCGAAAGUGACGGUACCUGCAGAAAAAGCGCCGGCUAACUACGUGCCAGCAGCCGCGGUAAUACGUAGGGCGCAAGCGUUAUCCGGAAUUAUUGGGCGUAAAGAGCUCGUAGGCGGUUUGUCGCGUCUGCUGUGAAAUCCCGAGGCUCAACUUCGGGUCUGCAGUGGGUACGGGCAGACUAGAGUGCGGUAGGGGAGAUUGGAAUUCCUGGUGUAGCGGUGGAAUGCGCAGAUAUCAGGAGGAACACCGAUGGCGAAGGCAGAUCUCUGGGCCGUAACUGACGCUGAGGAGCGAAAGGGUGGGGAGCAAACAGGCUUAGAUACCCUGGUAG
rnacentral:rRNA from 1 species